GCGCCCAUAGCUCAAUUGGAUAGAGCACUAGCCUUCGGAGCUGGGUGUUGGAGGUUCGAUUCCUCCUGGGCGCA
rnacentral:tRNA from 1 species